rnacentral:rRNA from 1 species
AGGCAUCGCCUGCCCAGUGACAAACGUUCAACGGCCGCGGUAUCCUGACCGUGCAAAGGUAGCAUAAUCACUUGUUCCUUAAUUGGGGACUGGAAUGAAUGGCUUCACGAGGAUUCAACUGUCUCUUACUUCCAAUCAGUGAAAUUGACCUCCCCGUGAAGAGGCGGGGAUGCUAAAAUAAGACGAGAAGACCCUAUGGAGCUUUAAUUUACUAACCCAACUUAAAAUAGAAUCCCUCUAUUGAGCCAAACAACAAAGACAUGGGUUAGUAAUUUCGGUUGGGGUGACCUCGGAGAAUAAAACAACCUCCGAAAGAUUUUAACUGAGACUAACAAGCCAAAGUAAUAAACAUCCAAUUGACCCAAUCUUUUUGAUCAACGGACCAAGUUACCCUAGGGAUAACAGCGCAAUCCUAUUUGAGAGUUCAUAUCGACAAUUAGGGUUUACGACCUCGAUGUUGGAUCAGGACAUCCCAAUGGUGCAGCAGCUAUUAAUGGU